AAUGUAUCAGCUCAAUGUGAUUUGGAUCUGAGUCUGCAAGCCAUAUCCGCUUCAUUUGAGGAAAAGGCACGUGAUAAAUGCUAAACAUGAAAGUUCAGAUUCAAAAUUAAAACGCGUUCUGCUUUCUUCUCCGUCCUCCCUCCGCCGUGCCGGAAAUCUCUUCCGGCGGCGACAGAGAUUAUACCACCACCAAAUCUAUAUCAAUGGAACCGACUUUUCACUCUCAUCCUCGAUACAUCCCUGAUUUCCGUCAAUUCCCUAACACCACCCCAAAUCGAAACUAAAACUACGAACCCUAAAUCUCAUAUUAGGAAAUUAAAUGUCAAUUAGGAGUGAUUUGGAGUCCAAACCAUCGGGGUUUGGCUCCCUCAUUAGCAAUCUGCAUAGUGGUUGCUAUGGAUUAAAGAUGAAGAGCGGAAAGACUUACCUACCGGAGCAAUUCCGGCGAUUCUUCAUGUUGGCCGAAGCUAAACAACGAAGCUCCAAAGUCUGUAACUCCUCCAGGUUGUUACAGGACCCAUUGGUGAGGUUGGGCUUGAAACUUGAUUAGUUCAGAUUGUAACAUUCUGCUAGGUGAAGCCGAGCCCCUUUUUGCUGUUAGGUAAGUUAUGCUGAAACAUGGGGACUGUUGUGGUCAGUAUGUUGGAAUGACAAUGGUCUUUGUUUGGCUUUAAGUAUUGAAGUGUGGAUUGUUGUUGUAUGAAUCUAUGGAAUAAUGAAAUGAAGGUUUGAGCUGGCGAGAUGUGUUAUGGAACUGUCACUGUUUUGAAUACUUAGUGUAUGAUGAAAAGCUAACUAUUGAUGUAUUUGCUAUUGAAAAAACAUGGCAUAUGGUUAUGGAAUUAUUUGAUUGAUGAAAUGUUAGAUGCCGAUUAUGGUAUGAAUGAAACUUGGAUAGUAAUUCAAAUAUGAAAAAACUUGUUAACAACUGCUUGAUGUGUAGUUAGGUUAUUGACUUAGAGUUAGUGAAAUCUAAAUGAUAUUUUGGAGGUUAGUUAAAUGUAAAAUUAUAUUACGUGGUAAGUGAAAGUUAUUAGAUUUGGUUCUGCUAUGUGAAAUGGCAAGUUGGAAAUGAAAUUGCAGGUGAACCACUUAAUCGAUGUCGGUGGGAUCUGUUACAUUGGAAUGCAUUUGCCAGCUGAAUCAUAUGUGUAUGGGAUUGCAAGUGGAACUGUUAUAACUUUAUGAAUUCACAGGUUGAGUGAUUUUGUGGUAUAUGGUGCUAAACGUGAGUUGCUUUGUUUCCUGCGGGUGAAACUUGUUUGGUGCUCUGUUGUGCAUUUCCUCAAGGUGCAGCUAUUGGUGGAUGGAUGAAAUGGACAAGUCUUUUGUGGCUAGUUUAAGAACUUCCUAUGCAGGAAGUUGAAGGAAAUUGAAGUAAUUGUAAAUAUUAGGACUUAGGAUUUAGACAUUGAAAAUGUUAGAUGUUUUAAUAUGUAAAUAUAAUUGACUUUAUGGAAGAGAAAUACAAAGAAAGACUCAACUUUUCUAUCAA